UUCCUUGGAAAAGGACAGCUGAGAGGGUGACACUCCCGUCCGCCUGGCAGAGUGAGUCAUUUGUCAACGAGUCGAGUCGUUUGGGAUUGCAGCUCUAAUUUGGUGGUAAAUUCCAUCUAAAGCUAAAUAUUGGUGGGAGACCGAUAGCGUACAAGUACCGUGAGGGAAAGAUGCAAAGAACUUUGAAAAGAGAGUUAAAGAGUACCUGAAACUGCUGAAACGGAAGCGAAGGAAACCAGUGUUUGUUUGUUCAUAUUUCCCUAGCCACUUGUGGCUUGGGCG
rnacentral:rRNA from 1 species